UACGUAGGGGGCAAGCGUUGUCCGGAAUCAUUGGGCGUAAAGCGCGCGUAGGCGGCCCGGUAAGUCCGCUGUAAAAGUCCAGGGCUCAACCCUGGAAAGCCGGUGGAUACUGUCGGGCUAGAGUCCGGAAGAGGCGAGUGGAAUUCCUGGUGUAGCGGUGGAAUGCGCAGAUAUCAGGAGGAACACCAAAGGCAAAGGCAUCCCUCUAGUGUUAACUGACGCUGAGGUACGGAAGCGUGGGGGAUCAAACAGG
rnacentral:rRNA from 1 species